UGCCCAGCAACUCCUAUCCAACCUUCUCGUGGUACCAGCCGGAAACUAUGAGCAACCUUAGGGAAGAUCAAGUAACCAACCCCAGUGACAACUUUAGUCAUAGGCUGACAGGGUAGG
rnacentral:ribozyme from 1 species